GUGUUUGGCAGAAAUCAGUGAUUCCUCUGCUGCCUUAUUUCCAGUUACAUUAAAUACAGUAUAUGACAAGAGUUUAUUAAUACUGCGCUGUGGUCAACAUCCGUGAGAGCAUAUACAGUGGCCUCCAUGCAGAAAAUGAUUCCACUGAGACAAUAGAUAGCAGCGAUUCCGUUAGUGAUAGUGAAAGUCAUCCUACACAACCCUCCUCUCCCAUCUGCCUCACACCAGCCAUGAAGAUUUUCAAAGACUGAAAGGGUCUCGGGGACCCACAGUGGUCAGCAGACCACAUUUGGAGAAUCAUGAACAGAUGAAGAGUUUAAACUGAUGGAAUUGAUGUGCGCAGAUCUGUGCCCUGGAAAAACUCACAGGAUAGACGGGCAAGGACUGGAAGACAGAAAAUAAGAGCCAGAACUCUCAGAGAUGGUAAAAUGACCUUCAGUUGGAUUUCACAACUGUCUGUUCAGCCACGGUCCUCAAAAGAAUGAAAAUAAAGAAAAUAAGAGGAGGAAGAAGACUUGUGAACGGGCCUUAUGGAAUCUCAAUGGGAGCAUAUUCUGCCCUCUGCGUCUACUCAUUUACACUACGAAUUAUGAGAUAAAACUAAACGUGCACUCAUGAGUGGUGAACAGAAUGGACGUUCUUGGAGAACAAAGAGACACAUGGUAGCAUGGCAAAACACAUUAGUGUUUCUCAAAGCACAAUUGACUGGGGAGUUUCAGGGCCUGACUCUCCUCCCACCGCAGAUCUCACUCCUCAUCAUUAUCCUCACUGACAGGGGGCCUUGUCCGAGUCCCCAGAGCCAAUGACAGCUCCCAGCAGCUGGAUUUCUCGGAGACAGUUAAGUGGCAUUUUUUUCCCAAUUACUCUUCUCAGACUUUAGAUGAGGAGAAAAAACGUUUUGUGAAAUGGUUAUGGUAAUGGCAAGAAUGAGUUUGUGGAUGUGGUUAAAUGCAAUUUUAGCAACGCCUUGAAAUGUACCAUAUGCUGAGAGCUUCUCUGGUACAGGCAGCUAUUAUCUUUAAGCUGAUUUCUUGGUCUCGUGUUCUAUUAUUUCAAUAUAUUUUAUAGAUUUCUCUUUUAUUUAUUUCCUUUUUGCCAUAUUCUGGAAAUAACUGUUCCUUAUGAAUGCUAGCUUUUAAUUUUAAGACUAAACUUAAACCUUCCUACCUAAAUAUUGCUGGGGGACUCCGUAAGAUGUGUUUUCAGUCUUAAGAAAACCUAUCAGCUGAAAGAAGAUUAAAAGAUUUUUUUCUCCUAGAUGCUGAAAAAUUAAAAUUUGUUGUGUAUGAAAGUCACUGUCUCCUAAUAAACUUAUAUUAA